GACGAACGCUGGCGGCGUGCUUAACACAUGCAAGUCGAACGGAAAGGCCCUGCUUUUGUGGGGUGCUCGAGUGGCGAACGCGUGAGUAACACGUGAGUAACCUGCCCUAGACUUUGGGAUAACUUCAGGAAACUGGGGCUACUACCGGAUAGGAGCUCCUGCUGCAUGGUGGGGGUUGGAAAGUUUCGGCGGUUGGGGAUGGACUCGCGGCUUAUCAGCUUGUUGGUGGGGUAGUGGCUUACCAAGGCUUUGACGGGUAGCCGGCCUGAGAGGGUGACCGGCGACAUUGGGACUGAGAUACGGCCCAGACUCCUACGGGAGGCAGCAGUGGGGAAUAUUGCACAAUGGGCGGAAGCCUGAUGCAGCAACGCCGCGGGCGGGAUGACGGCCUUCGGGUUGUAAACCGCUUUCGCCUGUGACGAAGCGUGAGUGACGGUAAUGGGUAAAGAAGCACCGGCUAACUACGUG
rnacentral:rRNA from 1 species